CAACCCAGUUGUUGGGAACAUAUGCCGGGAGAUAAGAUUAUUCAAAUCUGCCAGUUUGUAGUACAGUGUCGUUGUCAAAGACGUACUGGUACAAUUAUGUCGUUGUACGAUCGGCUGUAAAAUGUGUUUAUUAAUUGUGUGAUAUUUAAUAAAAACUUUAUACAGCUGAGGUUGCUUGUCAAGACAAGCAAUACAAAACAAGACCAAUGAAUGGAUGUUUUUAAGGGAUGAAUACAAAAAGAAUCCAAAGGAACUGAAGGAUCUAACACUGUUGAAAAAUGAAGUAACUUGUCUGAUUGGUACUAAGAAAUGCGUUCAUCUCCUCAAAAAAAAAAGUAUGCAUACACUACUGGUGUCGUGCAGCAAAUGCCUAAUUAAUAAGGAUAAUGCGAAUAUAAACCUGAUUAUAUUUUUUUACUACUUAUCUGUUUGCAAAAAAAUAUUUAAAACCAUAUUAAUUAGAAGUUAUAUUGUUCUAAAAAGUUAUGUUGUCAUAUCAGUUCGGAAAUACUGCUGCUGGAAGUUGAUUCCAAAGAGUGGAAGAGUUCCAUGCACAACGUGGAAAACCGCCAUUUGUCCAGAUGGUUGGGAUGAAAUUUUAGUUUAAGGCGGGUUGUAUGGUGGUGAAAAUCAGCAACAGGUAUCAAUCCAAACAAUUCCCAAAAGCACUCCCCAUAAAUUCAGUAGAAGAUGCACAGACAUGCAACAUCUCUGUGCAAUUUCAGUGGGUCGACAGUUGAUAUUAUAGUGUUACAUUAUACAUUUUUUAUUUGUAUUAUUAUUAUUUAAUUAUAUUUCAUAUUUGUUUCAGCUCUGGCCCAUUUACAAGUUAUUGGAAAAAUAGUAUGUGAUGUUCAACAAAAUAUUUAUUAUUUCAAAUUUAGAGUUUCAGUUUAGUUUUGGAAUUUGUCUUAAAUUAUGGCUGAAACUGAAACUUAUGUUCGAGAGUUUAUUCCAUAUUUUAUUGUAAUUUUUUCCAUGGUUUCGUCUG